rnacentral:rRNA from 1 species
UACGAAGGGGGCUAGCGUUGCUCGGAAUUACUGGGCGUAAAGGGCGCGUAGGCGGAUAGUUUAGUCAGAGGUGAAAGCCCAGGGCUCAACCUUGGAAUUGCCUUUGAUACUGGCUAUCUUGAGUUCGGGAGAGGUGAGUGGAAUGCCGAGUGUAGAGGUGAAAUUCGUAGAUAUUCGGCGGAACACCAGUGGCGAAGGCGACUCACUGGCCCGAGUACUGACGCUGAGGCGCGAAAGCGUGGGGAGCCAAACAGGG